AGGGAGGGAAGGGGGAAGCGGCAUCAGUUAUGGAGAGGAGCGAUGUGUUCCGGAGCGGCAGGCAAAGCCACCGUGGGUGUGGCAGUGGCGGGGAAGGACAGACCCACAAAAGAGCUGACGAGGGUGGCUGAGGCUGGGAGGAGGCGGGAAGAGAGUGAAGUGCUGAGGCGUGACUUUGGUUGCAGAGCGGCUCGUUGGUCUAGGGGUAUGAUUCUCGCUUCGGGUGCGAGAGGUCCCGGGUUCAAAUCCCGGACGAGCCCGCUGGCACGGGGGCGCUCGGCGCUCUUUAUUUUGCCUCCGUGGUGCCCUCCUGGAGUGUUUUUGCGCAUCGGGCCCGCCCGCAGCUCGAGGAAGGCCUGCGAGCGGCGGAAGGGCGAGGAGCAGCCCCGUGUGCUCCGGAGCGUGCGAGGGGGGAAAGCUGAAGGGGAAGGCCGAAAAAAUCGAGGAUAGCGGCGCCCGGUGCGAGGCGAAGAGAAGCGGCCUCUCCCCGGUGAGUUAUUAACGCUUUUCUUUGCGCUAAAAUGGGACGGGUGUUAUCCCUUCGCUGCCGAUGCCCGAGGAACGCAGUGGACAACGCGGGGUCGUAGCACUGAGCGGACGAAAGAGGAACGCUCCGGUGCUGCCGCCCGCCCCUCAUCGGGAUACAUCCCCGCCGCUCCGCCCUGGUGCUCCGUGUUGCUGAGGGGCCACUGGUGCUGCUUCUCUGGGUUCUGGUGGUGCCCGGGAUCCUGAUGCGCACUGCGGCAGCCCCGUCUGCCCGUGGGUGCGAGAGCUGCCAUGGCGAGCCUUGGACCGCGGCAGCUGGACUGCGAACCCCAGAUGAAAAAGGGGGAAUUCGUGGUUCUUUUCCAUAAUUCCAAACUGUGCGACGGCCAGGCAGUGGCGACGGUACUUCCUGACCUUACAGGUGAAGAUUUUACUCCGACCUGUUUAAAUAGAGUCUUCUUACAACGCUGGUGGUGCUCGGUGCUACCUUGGCUCGUCUCCCUACAGUAAUUAAUUUUGCUUACAUUCCAAGAAGCUGGAGGGAACGCAGGAGGGAGAGAUGGGGAAAAGAAUUGCUUUCGUUUCAUGGGCUUUUUAAUGCAUCAUGGUUAUCAAGAAUACUCCUGGCUCAAAUUGUUCAUUAGCUUCAGUUCAGCAUGGGAAUAGCUCAUCAUUCUCAUCCCUUUCCAUCAUAAGUUUUCCUCAGAACACUUAUCCUUGCAUAAUGGGUGAUCCAAGACCUUCUUCUUAAUCAAAUUAUGGAAAAAUCAGUUUGUGGAAGAGAAGACUGAGAGUGUAUCUCAUCAAUGAAUGAAAAUUCUCAAAGGUGGGUGUCAAGAGGGUGGUGCCAGAUAAUUGCAGUCAUGCUAAGAGGACAAGGAGUAAUGACCAUAAACUAAACCACAAAAAGUUCCACCUCAACAUGAGGAAGAACUUCUUUCCAUGGAGGAUGGCAGAACACUGGAACAGGUUGCCCAGAGAGGUUAUGGAGUUUCCUGCUGUGGAGGCAUUCCAAACUCAGCUGGAUGUGUUCAUGUGUAACCCGCUCCAGGUGACCCUGCCUUGGCAGGGGAGUUGGACUGCAUGAUCUCCAGAGGUCCCUUCCAACCCUAAAAAUUCUGUGAUUCUGUGAAGAAUAAUUACCAAACUCUCCAAGGACAGCAUGCAAGUACUGUGCCAGCUCUGAGUUUUGAAAGAACCAUUGUGUUUCUAUUUAAUCAGAGUAAACAUGAAUGCGGCAUUAUGUGCCAGUCACAGCUUAUCCCAAUUUGCAGAAGAAAAAGUUAUGCUGCAAUAGACACCCAAUAUUUUCUUGUACAAAUGGAGCUUGCUUUAUUUCUUUCUCUCCCAUGUUCUUCUCUUACUGAUUCAAAAUGAGCAUGUUGGUUGGGGUAUUUUUUGCAGGAAUGCAUAUCUUUGUACGCUAAGCAGUGUCUACUGUACAAGUCCUCUAGGAGAUACAGGCUAAAUAGAAAACAAUCAAAACCAUUAAAAAUGUAAUCAGUUUGAA